UAGUAUUUGGUGAUGGUGAACAUAGAAUUUUAUUAUACUCUGUAAGUACUAAGUAGAUAUUAUGGAUUUCAUUGAAACUGGGCCGUCUGCUUCAACUACGAGUAAUUUGAAUAAUAUGGCUUUUAUUAUACUCUAUAUGGAUUUCAUGGAAGCUGGGCUGUCUGAUUCAAAGUACCAUACCGAUGACAAACUACGGAGUGCUGCUGAAUCAACAAUAUUUGACUUGUCUUAUUAGUUAUAACAAAUAUUUAUUAUUGUUAAAAUCAUUUUAAAAUGAAAAACUUUGUGUUAAAAUAGAUGACUGUGUGAAACUACAUAUUAUACUUUGUCAUAUUAAAAUUAUAAUAAAAGUUGUCAUAUACAGUGUUACCUAUAGUUUGGGGUUUAUAUUAAAUAAAAAAACUCAC